rnacentral:rRNA from 1 species
ACUCAAAUGAAUUGACGGGGACCCGCACAAGCGGUGGAGCAUGUGGUUUAAUUCGAUGCUACGCGAAGAACCUUACCAAGGCUUGACAUCUCCGGAAUCUCUUGGAAACAGGGGAGUGCCUUUUAGGAACCGGAUGACAGGUGUUGCAUGGCCGUCGUCAGCUCGUGUCGUGAGAUGUUGGGUUAAGUCCCGCAACGAGCGCAACCCUUAUCGUCUGUUGCAAUUUCAGGCGAGACUGCCCGGGCCAACCGGGAGGAAGGUGGGGUCGAAGUCAGGUCAGCAUGGCCCUUACGCCUUGGGCUACACACGUGCUACAAUGGCCGGUACAAUGCGUUUGCCAACCCGCGAGGGGGAGCUAAUCGUAUCAAAACCGGUCUCAGUUCGAAUUGGAGGCUGAAACUCGCCUCCAUGAAGCUGGAAUCGCUAGUAACCGUAGGUCAGCAUACUACGGUGAAUACGUUCCCGGGUCUUGCACACACCGCCCGU